rnacentral:miRNA from 1 species
UCACUGGGUGUUUGACAGAUCU